UACGUAGGGUGCGAGCGUUGUCCGGAAUUAUUGGGCGUAAAGAGCUCGUAGGCGGUGUGUCACGUCGGCCGUGAAAACCUAAGGCUCAACCUUGGGCUUGCAGUGGGUACGGGCAGACUAGAGUGCGGUAGGGGUGACUGGAAUUCCUGGUGUAGCGGUGGAAUGCGCAGAUAUCAGGAGGAACACCGAUGGCGAAGGCAGGUCUCUGGGCCGAUACUGACGCUGAGGAGCGAAAGCGUGGGGAGCGGACAGG
rnacentral:rRNA from 1 species